rnacentral:pre_miRNA from 1 species
GAUUUCAACUGAAAAAGUCAUUAACAACAAAGUUGUAUAACUCAUUAAUAUCUAUAACUUUUAUUUUGGUCAUUUCUUCAUCCGACAAAGUGAUAGUAACAUUGUUCACAAAAUGUACACAUCUCUCUUAUAAUUUAUGAAACCAUAUUUGGAGAUAUGUAAAAUUUAUUAACAAUGUUAAAAUCACUAUGCCGGAUGAAUAAAUGACCAAAAUAAAAAUUGUAGAUCUAGAUGGAUUAUACAACUUUGUUGUUGAUGAGUUUUUCAGUUGAAGUC